rnacentral:rRNA from 1 species
UCUUGUACAACCCGCCCGUCACACCAUGGGAGUGGGUUGCACCAGAAGUAGCUAGUCUAACCUUCGGGAGGACGGUUACCACGGUGUGAUUCAUGACUGGGGUGAAGUCGUAACAAGGUAGCCGUAGGGGAACCUGCGGCUGGAUCACCUCCUU